rnacentral:rRNA from 1 species
GACGAACGCUGGCGGCGUGCCUAAUACAUGCAAGUAGAACGCACAGUUUAUACCGUAACUUGCUACACCAUAGACUGUGAGUUGCGAACGGGUGAGUAACGCGUAGGUAACCUGCCUGGUAGCGGGGGAUAACUAUUGGAAACGAUAGCUAAUACCGCAUAAUAUUAAUUAUUGCAUGAUAAUUAAUUGAAAGGUGCAAUUGCACCACUACCAGAUGGACCUGCGUUGUAUUAGCUAGUAGGUGAGGUAACGGCGCACCUAGGCGACGAUACAUAGCCGACCUGAGAGGGUGAUCGGCCACACUGGGACUGAGACACGGCCCAGACUCCUACGGGAGGCAGCAGUAGGGAAUCUUCGGCAAUGGACGAAAGUCUGACCGAGCAACGCCGCGUGAGUGAAGAAGGUUUUCGGAUCGUAAAGCUCUGUUGUAAGAGAAGAACGGGUGUGAGAGUGGAAAGUUCACACUGUGACGGUAUCUUACCAGAAAGGGACGGCUAACUACGUG